rnacentral:rRNA from 1 species
CCUACGGGUGGCAGCAGUAGGGAAUCUUGGACAAUGGGCGAAAGCCUGAUCCAGCCAUGCCGCGUGAGUGAAGAAGGCCUUAGGGUUGUAAAGCUCUUUUGGCGGGGACGCGGUACCCGCAGAAUAAGCCCCGGCUAACUUCGUGCCAGCAGCCGCGGUAAUACGAAGGGGGCUAGCGUUGUUCGGAAUUACUGGGCGUAAAGCGCACGCAGGCGGAUUGAUAAGUCGGGGGUGAAAUCCCGGGGCUCAACCUCGGAAUUGCCUUCGAUACUGUUAGUCUUGAGUCCGGGAGAGGUGAGUGGAAUUCCUAGUGUAGAGGUGAAAUUCGUAGAUAUUAGGAAGAACACCAGUGGCGAAGGCGGCUCACUGGCCCGGACUGACGCUCAUGUGCGAAGCGUGGGGAGCAACAGGAUUAGAUACCCUUGUAGUC